UACAGAGGGGGCAAGCGUUGUUCGGAAUUACUGGGCGUAAAGGGCGCGUAGGCGGCCUGUUAAGUCGAACGUGAAAUCCCCGGGCUCAACCCGGGAACUGCGUCCGAUACUGGCAGGCUUGAAUCCGGGAGAGGGAUGUGGAAUUCCAGGUGUAGCGGUGAAAUGCGUAGAUAUCUGGAGGAACACCGGUGGCGAAGGCGGCAUCCUGGACCGGUAUUGACGCUGAUGCGCGAAAGCCAGGGGAGCAAACGGG
rnacentral:rRNA from 1 species